ensembl:lncRNA
AAAGUAGGGCUAUGGGAUAGAGUCAGAAGGGUCAGUAUGUUUGAUAGCUGGUUACAGAGGUGACAUAACAAGCAUAAGGUCCAUUAUAACACAGUGAAGUAGGGCUAUGGGAUAGAGUCAGAAAGGUCAGUAUGUUUGAUACCUGGUUACAGAGGUGACAUAACAAGCAUAAGGUCCAUUAUAACACAGUGAAGUAGGGCUAUGGGAUAGAGUCAGAAAGGUCAGUAUGUUUGAUAGCUGGUUACAGAGGUGACAUAACAAGCAUAAGGUCCAUUAUAACACAGUGAAGUAGGGCUAUGGGAUAGAGUCAGAAAGGUCAUUAUGUUUGUUAACUGGUUACAGAGGUGACAUAACAAGCAUAAGAUCCAUUAUAACACAGUGAAGUAGAGGUGGGAGCUAAAAGCAGACAUGGACAGUGAGAUGGUGUGAGGAGGUCAGGGGUGAAACACUAGAUCAGGACAUGUAGAAAUGGCAGGGCUGGAAAUAGAGACAGCGACACAUUCUGAUUAUGGCUCAGACCUGACCUGAGACACCCAAACAGAAGAUGCCAAAGCAAAGUCCUGACCUGAGACACCCAAACAGAAGAUGCCAAAGCAAAGUCCUGACCUGAGACACCCAAACAGAAGAUGCCAAAGCAAAGUCCUGACCUGAGACACCCAAACAGAAGAUGCCAAAGCAAAGUCCUGUCCAGUAGCCUAUAUGGAAUUUCCUUUCAUCAAAAUCCAGAACAUUGACAUGAGGCAUCUGUCAAUAAAAAGUGGCUUUAUAUCUUUAGUGAAAGGAUGGAAUGUGUUACUACCAUUUAGUGAAAGGAUGGAAUGACUUAGUGUUAAUACCAUUUAGUGAAAGGAUGGAAUGACUUAGUGUUACUACCAUUUAGUGAAAGGAUGGAAUGACUUAGUGUUACUACCAUUUAGUGAAAGAUGGAAUGACGUAGUGUUACUACCAUUUAGUGAAAAGAUG